rnacentral:rRNA from 1 species
AUACGUAGGUGGCAAGCGUUAUCCGGAUUUACUGGGCGUAAAGGGAGCGUAGGCGGUAUAUUUAAGUGGGAUGUGAAAUACCCGAGCUUAACUUGGGAGCUGCAUUCCAAACUGGAUAUCUAGAGUGCAGGAGAGGAGAAUGGAAUUCCUAGUGUAGCGGUGAAAUGCGUAGAGAUUAGGAAGAACACCAGUGGCGAAGGCGAUUCUCUGGACUGUAACUGACACUGAGGCACGAAAGCGUGGGGAGC